rnacentral:lncRNA from 1 species
GCACUUGUUUACUGAUGCAGGAUGGGUUAAGUGCAUCAAUAGGGGUUGAGAAUCCAUGCAUCAUAUUGGGUAGUGCAUCCUCUUGUGCAUGUCGUGUGGUGAAUAUGUUUGUUGAUGCUUGUUUUCGGUUCCCUUCGUCUCGAUAGAGUUCUGCAAGCGUGUUGGAUUGUGAGGACCCGUUCGACUACAUCGGUUCGUCUGCUUCACCGAGUUGUUCUUCUUCCAAGCGGGAUCUCAGGCAAGAUGACCAUUUCCCCAGAUACCAUUACUAUCAUUGCCAUGCUAGCUUUACCGCCUCUAUCGAUUAUGUCUCGUUGCCUACCACAUGUUAAAUAUCAGCCUCCCAAUCAUGCCAUGAUAACCUUCAACCUGUUCGACCUAGCAAACCACUGAUUGGCUAUGUUACUGUUUGCUUAACCAUGUUGUUAGCGUUGCUAGUUGCAGGUGUAGUUGCUUCCAUGCGAAAGCAUGGGUUCCUUGUUAUAUCACCAUAUUAAUGCUAUUUAACUUAAUGGACCUAUAUACUUGGUAAAAGGUGGAAGGCUCGGCCUUUCUAGCCUGGUGUUUUGUUCCACCUUUCUAGCCCCCUUAGUUUCGGCUACCGGUGUUAUGUUCCAUAAUUGAGCGCUCCUAACACGAUCGGGGUUGUUAUGGGGACCCCCUUGAUAAUUCGUUUUAGAUUAAAGCUGGUCUGGCAAGGCCCAACUUUGGUACUACAUUUGCCUAAUCACCUAAUAAAAUUGCAUAGGGACUUCCCGGGCCCCGAGGAUAAUUUAAUCAACCCCCGGGCCAGUGCUCCUCAUGAGUGUUGGUCCCACCUGAGCAAUGUCCGGCGCCCCUCUGGUCACCCGGAGGUUUAGCGAUCCCGACGUCUAGCUCAUCCGCCGUGUCCUGAGAACGAGGUACGCGACUCCUAUCGGGAUCGUCGACACGUCGGGCGGCCUUGCUGGAUUAGUUUUACCUUUGACGAGAUAUCUUGUGCAUCGGGAUUCCGGUGACGCUUUGGGUAAUCUCAGAGUUGAGGUUUUCCACUAUGGAAUCCGACGAGAUCGCGAGCUUCGUGAUUGAGGAUUUAUAUGCGGCUUGUGGUAAUUUGUGAUGGACUAGUUGGAGCACCCCUGCAGGGUUAAAUCUUUUGGAAAGCCGUGCCCGCGGCUAUGUGGCAACGUGGAAACUUUGUUUAACACUGGUUCUAGAUAACUUGAAGUUAACUUAAUUAAAACAUGCCAACUGUGUGCGUAACCGUGACUGUCUCUUUCGUGAGUUCUUACUCCGAUCGAGGACACGGUGGGGUUAUGUCUGACGUAGAUAGGUGUUCAGGAUCAUUCAUUUGAUCAUCAGUAGUUCACGUCCGUUAUGCGUAGAUCUUCCCCUUCUUAUUUCUUGUACUCAUAAGUUAGCCACCAAAUAUAUGCUUAGCCGCUGCUGCAACCUCACCACUUAACCAUGCCUCACCCAUUAAGCUUUGCUAGUCUUGAUACCUUUGGAAAUGAGAUUGCUGAGUCCCCUAUGGCUCACAGAUUACUACAACACCAGUUGCAGGCACAGGUAAAGGUUACCCGACGCGAGCGCGUUGAUUGUUCAUUUAGAGUUGCUUCUUCUUCUUCUUCUUCAUCGAUCUAGGAUGGGUUCCAGGCCGACAGCCUGGGAUAGCAAGGAUGGACGUCGUUCUUCUUUUGUCGUUUGUUUUCGUCCGUAGUCGGACCCUGCUCUUUCUCUUGAUGAUUAUGUAAUGUACUGUCGUGACUCUGAUGUAGCUUGUGGCGAGUGUAAGCCAACUCUCUAUAUAUAUCUCUUCUUUUCAGUACAUGUACUUGUAACGAUAUCCAUUCUUGCGACACGACGAGAUGCGCUUCUAUCCCUGACGAGGCCCCCGUGCCAAAUUGAGGAUAUGGUCGCAUCUUGGGUAUGACAAGUUGGUAUCAGAGCCGUACCAACCUAGGAGCCCCCUUGAUUGAUCGAACUUGGCCGAGUCGAGUCUAGUGAAAAACUGCUUUGAGUCUAGUUAUAUAUCGGAGAGUAGAGUUCUUUUUUCCCCUCUUCUAUGCUCUGGUGAGGAAUCUUGACGUAAUAUUUUAAUUCUACUCGUCUUCUCACUCAAUUUUUUUUUAGGAUCACGCGGAUAUUCUUGCGAUCUAUAUGAUGCCGAUGUGACGGAGUUCUGUCUUGGUGCCUCCUAUCUGCUUUAAGUUUCAGGGGAGUUGAGCUCCAGGGUAUUCUCGAGCACAUCGUUAUCAUUCAGAUUUCUUAGUAUCUCAGAACGAAGGAUGUUCGUAAUUGCUUCAAUACUAGUAGUGGCGAGAUAACCCCGAUGUCCCUAGUACUGGUGCAGAUUGUUUGGGAGUACUGCCAUACUUUGUAUCAUUGUGAUCAUGAGGGUCUGUUGUAGAUGAAGGUCCGAGAUUCUGGUUGUGUGUUGACGGAUGUGAUACAUGUGAUGGGUUAGUAUAGGAGUUGUGUUAUUAUUACUCCUUGUAUCCGUGUACCGGAUUGCAUGACCAGAUAUUUCGGGAAUUCAUAGGUGGGAAUUCAAGUAGUUGCUUAUAGGACAAUCUUCCAACAAAUUCUUGAUGUUAGGUUGGGGUUCGACAUCUAGUGGAUUCGUUUGUUCACGGUCGACUUACAGCGGUACACGUUGUGUCUUAAAGAGUCCUUGUAGCUUGCUACGACUCGGGGACGCUUUGUAUGUCGGGUGCACUGCCUUGCACUUGAUGGCUACUGUAAGGAUCGAGCCCGUGCGAUCCUGUCCAUGAAAAUAUCGGACGAAAUCUUUCUCAUGAGUUUGUUCUGGCUUGUUUCAUAAGCCUCAUCCUUUGUUUUUUUGAAUAUGGUAAUUCAAGUUGCUUCGAUGUCAACUGGUGAUUUCAGAUCUUUCAUAAGAGGUGUUCUCAUAUUUUUAUGUCAAUGCUAAUUCUUUUGCUCAAUUAGACUGUCAUGUCAAUUCUUGUCAACCGGAGUCAUCGUAUCAAUUCCAUUCAACCGGUGUGCUUCUCUGCAACUGAAUUCAAUCUUAUCUAAUUUUGCAAGAUCAUUCUCUCUUUUAUUCCGGAGUUCAUCUCAUCUAGCCCAAGUUGUCUUUGUUUUUCCCCACCCUCCCGCCCUUUUUCUCAGUGAUUCAAUUUUCAUCGAAGAGUUUUCUUUCAUGUGCUUCCGUUAUCUGUUCUUUUCUCUCUUACCCGGUGAUUCAUUGUGAAGAUUCUUAGGAGCUUCAUGUUCAUCUUUAUUCAUUCUUGUGGUCUUUUCCCGGUGAAUUUAAUUCAGCUAUCCGUGUUCAUUAUAUCCUUUUUCAUCCUUUAAAUUCUUUCCUGUGUUGGAAAUUCUUUUCAGCCCAUCUUGUUAUUCAUUCUUCUCUUUCUAUUCGGUGUGUUGAAGAUAUCUCGGAAGUUUCGUGUUUUCUAUUCUUUAAGUAUUUCGAGGUUCUCAACCUCAUGUAGUUUUCAUUUGUACCGGUGCAUUCAAUCUGUCUUUCAAUCCUUUUAACGGUGGUUUAUUUGAGUGGCCCCAUAACCCACAGGUUUUUCCCAGGAUCUUUCCUGGCUCUUUUAAUCUUUUUCCGGAGAUCAUUAAAUCUUUCAACUAUGACGUAAGUUUGAUUUUUAUCAGUCAUAUCCCUUCUUCGAGAUCUAUUGGAAUUAAUUCUCAUAUUUGGCUCAACCUUGCAUUUCUCUUAUUCCGGAGUGUUUCAGCUAUUUUUGGUGUUGUUCCUCGUCAUCAUUCUCUCCAUUGAAAAUUCGAAGGAGUGUUUUUCUCGAAUCUUGGUCUAUUCUCUUGGAGAUUCGUCAUUUCAGCUUCGUGUUGUCAUCUUGAAUUUAUUUUCAAUCAUGAGUAAUCCCUUUCUUGCGAUCCGGUGCAUUUCUGAGUUGUUUUAUUUCUCGUUCCUCCGAAGGCCAUCAUUUCAGAAGACUUCUUCGUUCUCAGCUUUCAGCUUUCGUUCUCUAAUUCUUCUCAAUUGUUGUCUCUUCGUUCGUCUCUCGAUUAUCCGGUGCCUUGUUCAAGUUUUCUCUCAGGUGGCGCAUGAUCUCUUCAUUCUCAGAUGUUUCCAUGCAUUCUUGGAAUUUCCCAUUCAGUUGUGAAUUCUUACCGGUGCUUCCUUCAAUUAUGCCUCAAGUGGUGCUUAUCUCUCUGCCUCUUCAAGAUUCAUUUCUAGAGGAAUAAGUGUUAUGCUAAAUCCGUUGCUUGUCAUCAUCUAAACUUGAUGAAGGAUAGGCAUAACAUAAUUCUUAUUCUUGUUCUUCCUUCUUCCAAGGGAUUUCAAUUCUUCUUCCGGAGUGGCUCAUGAUAUCAAUUCCUUUUCUCAAGUGCUCUUAUCUUUUCUUUUCCGGAGUUCCAAGUUCUAUCAAGUUUCUCUUCGUGAAGCUUCAUCUAAAUCUUGGCAAGGUCAUAACCUUAUUCUUUUCUACCUUCAUAUCGUUGCAUCGUUCAUUUGUAUACGGAGGUCCUUCAUGGCGGUUCAUCAUGAUAUCAAUUCAUUCUCAAAGUGUUCUUCAAGAUUCUAUUGGAGAACCUCAAGUAUCCUUUGUCUUGCAUUUCUAUGUGCAGUUGUUCUUCCUUUAUCCUUUGCGGUGGUAUUAUAGCAUUCUUGUUAGUGUAGGAGCCUCGAAGAGAUUUCCUUUCAAGAAUGAGAUAAUUAAAUCCACCAAUCCUUUGAUCAUGAGAUUAUUCUUAACCCAUGAUUUCUUCAUUGAGCUAUCUUGGUUUGGAUUUCACCUAAAGCUUUUCCUAUGGAUUUCUUCUAUCAUGGUGCUUGUCAUUAAUCCAAGUUCUCAAUGUAUCCUCUUGGUGUAAGUAAUUGUUCAUAUCUUGUUUCUCCCAAUCAACCCUUGUUUCCGUUAGUGGCUGGUUGUCACUUCAUUAGUUUGAAAGGUUUCCUUAAGCCCACUACUAUCUUGUUCUUUUUGUUGUUAUUUUUUCAACAACUCCGUGCAAUUCUUCUUGCAAGGAUGCUUGCCAAGUUCAUUUGCGAUAAUAGUUGUCAUUCUCUCUUCAUUCUCUUCUUCCGUAUGAGCUAGUUCAUAUUCUCUUGUUCCGGAGGCAUUGUGAUGUUGCUCUUUGGGUCAAUCAUGUUAUCCUAUCAAGUUCAUGGUGUUCCCUUGUUCUAUUUAGUUGUUUGUUAUGUAUAUUGUCUAAUUCUCCUACCUUUUCGAAUUUUUGUCCCAUUUUCCUACCGAAGUGCUGCUGAAUUUUUCCGUGAAUUCUUGCUUAUUUCUCUUAUCAUUCCUCAUCUCUUUGCAACCUUGAAGGAUCGUUGGUUUCACUCGUUUGUCAAAGAAGCGACUAAAUUCUUACCUCAUGUUCUUUCUCAUCCUCUCCCCCUUUCAUUCUUGGAUCUCGGGGCGAGAUCCUCUUGUAGUGUAGGAGAGUUGUGACAGCCCGAUGCUGACGUUCCAGAAGAUUCCCCUUCUAUUCCGUUUUCGUCGUGUGCAUAUUUUCUUCUGUGGCAUCAUCAUCGCAUCAUGCACAUCAUCAACUUUGCAUCGGCAUCUCCGUGCCACCAGUUUUCAAAACUUGCAUCCGUUGUUAGUUGUCGAUUCUCGUCGUUGUUCGUUCCGAGUCCGACCGCACUCGCACGCGCCCGCGGCAUCGUCGAAACCCUGUUUUUAAAAGUGUGGGUAAAACUUUUUCAGCUUGGGGUGAGAUUUGACGUGCGGUGUUAUUUUAAUAUAGCUAGACCGCCUGUCGAAUUUCGUCGCGAUCGAAGUCCGUCUGGUACCCGAACGGUCGACCGUAGCGGCGCCGUAUUCGGUCUAUCGUCGGACGUUUUUUGGUAUUUUAAAAAUAUGUUGCGGGGUGCCCGUUUUCCCUCUCAUCUUCGCCUAGCCCCUCUGCACAGUGCGUCGACCCUACUCGCGGCCAGUCCGAAAACCUCCCGGAACCCGAACCCGGGGUUGUGACCGUUGGAUCCGGAUCAACCCCGUUAUACCGCAAACCGUCAUUGGUUUGUCCAUUGCACUCCCGAUCCUAAUUAUCUCGACCAUCCGAUAUAAAUCGGAGGGUCCAGAUGCCCCUAUACCUAACCCACUAGCUAUAUAUAGAAUACCCUUGCUCAUUUAGACCAGAACCCUAGAAAUUCUCCCCCUGUCCCAUCAGCGCCGCCGCCGCACACCACGUGGUCUCCUACCUCGUUUUCCUCCACCUACCGAUCACGCACCAGAUCCAUGCCGAGCCAAGCCAGAGCCAAUCCCCUCUUCCCUCCUUGAUCGGUUCCCAGCCAGCCCCGCACCUCGCCUCAGCCUGCUCCUCUUGCAUGCGUUGUUCCCGCUUCCCUCCCGAGCAGCCCGAGGAACCGGAGCCGCGGCCUCCCGGCUGUGUUCGAGCCGCAGCAGCAAGGUGACCGAGCCUAGCUGCAGGAGCAGCCGAGCCGCCCCAUGGGGCCUCGAUCCAACAGCUGCAGCACCUACGUCGGCUAGGAGCGCCCCCAUGCCUGGAGCUGAUUCUUACCCGCGUCCCGCACCAAGUAGCAGCAGCAGCAACCCCGGUCGCCCUAAGAACCUGCAGGCCAGAGACCUCUCCUCCUCUCUCAUCUAGUCUCUUUUCCUCUCCUCAAGAUCUUUUCCUCUUUCUGUGUAUAGUGCAGCAGCAGGAGAAACCAUGGCGCCCACUCUCGUGUCUGCUGGAGCUGUGCCCGACGCCUACAGCCUCGGGAACGGGAUCCCCUCGUCCGGUUAUGCCCGGCCCGCUGGUGAAGAUCCCCGUCGAAGCCGCCCCUGCAGUCUCUGAUGAGCUGAGCCGCCACAGCCUGCAUCCCGUCCUGGCAACACAGAUAUCUCUGUUUCGUGAUUCAGUUUCGUCACACUUGCCCCACGGUAUGGUUCAUCUGGCACAAACCCUGCAAUAUAUCACUCAAACAUGCAUAGGUCAAUUGGCUUGUGACAACCGGUUCCAUCCCAGAGAUCUGGGGUUCGAAUCCCAGUAGCGCCAUAUUUAUUUUGCCAGUUUUUUCAUUAAAGUCGUUGUAAGGGUGCUUCACCUAGCGCAAUACUGCUUCUGUGAGCAUAAUUCUUGUGUAGCUAACUGGUAAGUCUGUUGUAUAGCGACCGUGAGGUCCUGGGUUCGAGUCCCCGGUGUGCCCUUUUGUUUUUCUGGUGUGUUAACUUGGUUCGAGUCAUAGCUUCCUAGCCCGAUGGUUCUACUAGUUCAACUAGCAUGGGCUAGCCCAGUGGCUGUGUGUGUGUGCGUGUCUCUAGGAGAGGUGCAGGUUUGAUCCCCCCACAUGCACAUUUUUUUCUUUUAUUUUGAGUGUGUGUGUUGUGCGUUCUAGGCCCACUUGCAUACACCAACUAGGGGCCCUGGUGUGCAUGGCCAGUGGGACCCCGUGACGAUGAUACGUAUAUUGUUUUCUGUAGUAUUUUUGAGGUAUUUCCAAAUCUGGAAUAUUCUAGAAGAAGAAUAUGCAAAAUCUGGCAUAUAAGAACAACCCCCUGUUCUUGUUAAUAUCGGAGUUUGAUCCUGUGUAGUUUUCCCUUUGUUGUUUGUGGUGUUUUUCUUCAUGCAUUUAUAGCACUGUAAUAUAUGGAUUUGGGGUAGGAGAACCCAAGGAAUCCAAUGAAGACACUAGUUUCCAGUUCUGAGCAGUUCUGCAGAAGUGUCACUUUGUGAUGAGGUGGCACUUGUUUACCGAUGCAGGAUGGGUUAAGUGCAUCAAUAGGAUUUGAGCAUCCAUGCAUCAUAUUGGGUAGUGCAUCCUCUUGUGCAUGUCGUGUGGUGAAUAUGUUUGUUGAUGCUUGUUUUCGGUUCCCUUCGUCUCGAUAGAGUUCCGCAAGCGUGUCGGAUUGUGAGGACCCGUUCGACUACAUCGGUUCGUGUGCUUCACGAGUUGUUCUUCUUCCAAGCGGGAUCUCAGGCAAGAUGACCAUUUCCCUAGAUACCAUUACUAUCAUUGCCAUGCUAGCUUUACCGCCUCUAUCGAUUAUGUCUCGUUGCCUACCACAUGUUAAAUAUCAGCCUCUCAAUCAUGACAUGAUAACCUUCAACCUGUUCGACCUAG